rnacentral:rRNA from 1 species
CCUUAUGGACUUAUGUGGUCAAAGCCUGAUCUUGUCACAUCUCAGAAGCUAAGUAAGGCCAGGCCUGGUUAGUACUUGGAUGGGGGACGGCUGAGAAUGUAGGGUGCCAGUC